rnacentral:tRNA from 1 species
CAUUAAGUGGCUGAAAACCUUAAGCAUUGGUCUCUUAAACCAACAUAUGGUAUUAAUUACCCUUAAUGA